UACAGAGGUGGCAAGCGUCGUUCGGAAUUACUGGGCGUAAAGGGCGCGUAGGCGGCCUUCUAAGUCAGACGUGAAAUCCCCCGGCUUAACCUGGGAACUGCGUCUGAUACUGGGAGGCUUGAGUAUGGGAGAGGGAUGUAGAAUUCCAGGUGUAGCGGUGAAAUGCGUAGAUAUCUGGAGGAAUACCGGUGGCGAAGGCGGCAUCCUGGACCAUAACUGACGCUGAGGCGCGAAAGCUAGGGGAGCAAACGGG
rnacentral:rRNA from 1 species